UACACGCUGUGACUAGCAUAUCAAUAAGCGGAGGAAAAGAAACUAACAAGGAUUCCCCUAGUAACGGCGAGUGAAGCGGGAAGAGCUCAAAUUUGAAAUCUUAAAGGGUUUACCUUGACGAAUUGUAGUUUAAAGAAGUGUUUUCUGUUGAGGUUUUGGUAAAAGUUCUUUGGAAUAGGACAUCAUAGAGGGUGAGAAUCCCGUAUUUGACCCUUACUUUCAACUUUGUGAUACACUUUCAAAGAGUCGGAUUGUUUGGGAAUGCAGUCCAAAAUGGGUGGUAAAUUUCAUCUAAAGCUAAAUAUUGGCGAGAGACCGAUAGCGAACAAGUACCGUGAGGGAAAGAUGAAAAGAACUUUGAAAAGAGAGUUAAACAGUACGUGAAAUUGUCAAAAGGGAAGCGUUUGACACCAGUGUUGUUUUUCUGAAAAUCAAUUAAAGAACUGUUUAUGCUAAGUUGUUUAGACUUUAUCAGCUAACUGUUUAGUUUUGAGCUUUUCUUUAAUGCACUUUUCAGUUAACAAGUCAACAUCAAUUUCUUUUGCUGUAAAAAAGCUUGAGGAAGGUGGCUUGAGAUUCGUCUUAAGUGUUUAUAGCCUCUUGCCUAUGCAGUCGGAGAGAUUGAGGUCUGCAGCGUAGAUCCUUCGGGGCUAAAUGCAUUUGUGCUAAGUUAUAGCAUUUCAUAGACAACUUGUUGACUAUGAUUUGUCUUGUAGCUUACUCGCUUAUGUUAUUUUACCUACGCUUAGGAUGUUGACAGCAGUAUAGACUGU
rnacentral:rRNA from 1 species